UCUCCUUGGCACCAGUCCUUGGGAAAGGCCAGGCAGAACAGGUAUAGCAGCAGCAUCUUGUGGCCAGAAGAACCCACAGUGGUAGCAGCUCCCUUCCAGAGUCCCAGGGAUUUCUGGCUUCUGACUGUGACCACCUGCCUUAGCAGAUUCGAAGACCAAUCUUCUACGCUGAAAGGCUGCACAAAAUCUGAGAGCUAACUUUGAGAUCCAGACAAGCACAAGCACGUGGCUCUUCUCAACGCAGGAAUUCCAACGUGAGAGCAAUGCCACCUCUUCCAGAGCCUGAGGCACAGAGUCACAGCUGCACAGAGGACUUCAUCACCUCCCAGUGCUUUUUAAUACUAACACGGAGAGACCUCCAUUGGCAUUGAUAACUCCAUCUGAGAGAAGCACCAAGGAGCUUGAUUUUCUGCCUGAGUACUGCCAGAUAGCAGGAAGUUGAAUAACGUGGACCUUAAUACAGGAGUAUAUUCAUGAAAGAGUUCAACUUUAACAUGGGUGAAAGAAGAAAAACAGGGGGGGAGGGGGAAAGAGGAAAACAAAAAAAAAUAGAAAGAGACUCGAGCAGAAAGUCUGUUUCUACAUUGUACAUAUACAACUACUUGCCCAUGCUCCCACUGCAAGCCAGUGACAGAAAUCUUGGCUCCAGAGCUCACCAGCUCCGAGCGCUGUGCUCAGUUCUUUCAGAUCACUUUACUUCAAUUUUAAACCAGGAAAGAUUGCCUUCCAGUGCUGCAGAAUGCAAUCGCUCACUGAUUGACCAUCAGAAGGGUCUGAUUUAUAGCAUGCUGGAACUGACUUGAAGUAAGUGGCAGCUCUGACUAGAAGAGAGGAUCGGUGAAUCCAAAGAUUAAGCUUUCUUUCAAUAGAAACAACCUACCAGACAUUUUUCACAAGUAAGCCAAGACUGUGAUUCUAUGAACUACUCAAGAAAACAACAACAACAACAUCAUCAUCAAACUCUGGAUUGCCAAAAUAACAACACUGAAAGCCAGAAAUAGAUUCUAUUCAAGGUUUGUCAUUUUUCCUAAAUUCUUUUUCAAAGUACAGUGACUUUCAGACUUCACAGUAUUAUGUUACUAGAGAAACAGGAAGGUAUCUGAAACGGUUUAUUUGCAGACAGUGCCUCUAUAGCAGGAAAUUUACCUGAAGCUAAACUCAAACCCAUUAGCCUUCUUGUUCACACCUAAAUCAACGAGAAGCUCUCAAUGAUUUCAGAUGGUUUCAGUGUUUUUCCCUUUGGUAUUUCCACUUUUGGUUGUGAUCAUUACAAGAGGCAGCGAGGGUGAAGAGGGCACAGAGCCCAAGAAAGCACGGAGGAGACAUUAGCUCAAGCACCAAGAGGUUAUUGUUUGUGGUUUUACUUCCUACACAUUCACCUCACAUAAACUAAGCUUUGCUAUCUGUUCAGGUGUCAUGGUCUCAGCCAAGAACCAUGGACACACAAUGUCCAUUUUCCACCAAUUGCUUCCACUACCUUCUCUCUAGUAGCCUCAUUACUAUAGAGCACAACACAGGACUCAGCAGAGGAGAUGCCUGCACUGGGUCAGUGAGCUAUCAAAAGAGAUAGAGAAGGGGUUUGGCCUUCAUUGAAGCAUGAAGGAAUUGAGCAGUGAAUUAAACGCAGGAAAUGAUAUUCAUUUGGAUUUCCGAAGAAAUAAAGUAAUGCCUGUUUUAAUUAAGGUAAAUGGUCACACUAUCCUCUGGAUAAUAAGCUGGAUUUUGAUUAAAAAGUUAAUCUGACUACAUGGACCUCAGAAGAGAGGCUGACCAUAACCACCAGCACAUGAAAACUCUCCAAUUAACACUGCGGGAAGCACCAGGAACACAACAAGAGGGAACACCUGACCACCACUACAUUCAGAAAUGCUCCAGAACAUCAGGUAGAGAAAGAGGGAGAGAAAUCUUUCCAGCUGAACCUUUGUAAACAUACAUGAAGAAAUGAAAGC